rnacentral:lncRNA from 1 species
ACUGGAAAUAUUUUUUAUUUGCAAUAUUUUGUUGCAAUUUCAAUAAGGUUAUUCAUAUAUUUAGUGACUAUUAGAUCUGAUUCGGCAUAGAGUAUGAGUAUAGGUUUAUUUGGAUGUUAGCAUACAGUAAACCAAGCAGUUGAAUUACAAGCAAAAUACAAUUUCAUGCAAUAAUCCUUUAUUAUGUUCAACAUGCUGGAUGUCUGAAAACAAAUUCAAACAAAACAAUUCACUGUCAAUACAAGUUGCAAUGAUGGAGAGACUGGCUGUGUAAAUAGAUUUUUCAUUGUAAAGAAGGAAUUUAGAAGCGCAAAAUAGCAGUUAUUUAGCCUUUUUUCAAGCACAAUGGAGAAUCAUUAUGAGUAAAAAUUAAAUUUAGGAAACUUUAACAUAUUAUGUUAUUGAUGAAGCUAUGUGAAAUGCUUCACAGUCACCCACAGCUGCUGGAACUAGCUUUAUAGUUGUAACCUGUCAGGCAGCAUUUGGGGAAGGUUACUCCACAGGAACACAUGUAAUAACAACCUGGACUGUUUGGGUCGGCGUAAUACCCAUCACUCUUCCCCAGGCAGACACUAGGGGGUGAAGUAGUUGUAGCAGAUUUAGUAGUUGUGGUCAGGGCAGUAGGUUUAGUAGUUGUAGUAGUUUUGGUGGGUUGAGUAGUUGUCGUAGGUUUAGUCGUUGUGGUCGGGGUAGUUGUAGUAGUUCUGGUUGGUGUAGUAGUUGUAGUAGUGGGAGCAGGGGUUGGGUUCGGGUUUGGUACACAGUUGCUAGAGCUUUUUUGGAAGAUGUAACCUGUCAGGCAGCAUCGGUUGAAGGUUCCUCCACAGGAACACAUGUAGUAACAAGUGGCAUCGUUUGGGUUGGCGUAAUACCCAUCACUGUUUCUAGCACAGUAAUUGCCAUCAACCACUCCAGAACUUGCAGUCGUGAUGGUGGCUUAAUAUGAAGUAAGAAAAAAAAAUGUCAUUGCUUUUCUAAUAUUAUUAGGUUCUUGGGUCAAGUAACUGCUGCUACAAAAAAUGUCAUGAUAAUGUUUUACACUCACCCAAACUGGUGACGAUCAAACAGAUACCUUAAUACAGAAAUGUAAACAGUAAAUCAUCAAAUAAAAAUAAAAAAGAUAUCUUGAAUUUAAUUAGA